rnacentral:rRNA from 1 species
UACGUAGGGUGCGAGCGUUGUCCGGAAUUAUUGGGCGUAAAGGGCUCGUAGGCGGUUUGUCGCGUCGGGAGUGAAAACCAGGUGCUUAACACCUGGCUUGCUUUCGAUACGGGCAGACUAGAGGUAUUCAGGGGAGAACGGAAUUCCCGGUGUAGCGGUGAAAUGCGCAGAUAUCGGGAGGAACACCAAUGGCGAAGGCAGCUCGCUGGGACGGUACUGACGCUGAGGCGCGAAAGCGUGGGGAGCAAACAGG